UAUGUGAUCGUCUCUCGCAUAUCAAUAAGCGGAGGAAAAGAAACUAACAAGGAUUCCCCUAGUAACGGCGAGUGAAGCGGGAAGAGCUCAAAUUUGAAAUCUUAAAGGGUUUCCCUUUACGAAUUGUAGUUUAAAGAAGUGUUUUCUGUUGAGGUUUUGGUAAAAGUUCUUUGGAAUAGGACAUCAUAGAGGGUGAGAAUCCCGUAUUUGACCUUUACUUUCAACUUUGUGAUACACUUUCAAAGAGUCGGAUUGUUUGGGAAUGCAGUCCAAAAUGGGUGGUAAAUUUCAUCUAAAGCUAAAUAUUGGCGAGAGACCGAUAGCGAACAAGUACCGUGAGGAAAGAUGAAAAGAACUUUGAAAAGAGAGUUAAACAGUACGUGAAAUUGUCAAAAGGGAAGCGUUUGACACCAGUGUUGUUUUUCUGAAAAUCAAUUAAAGAACUGUUUAUGCUAAGCUGUUUAGACUUUAUCAGCUAACUGUUUAGUUUUGAGCUUUUCUUUAAUGCACUUUUCAGUUAACAAGUCAACAUCAAUUUCUUUUGCUGUAAAAAAGCUUGAGGAAGGUGGCUUGAGAUUCGUCUUAAGUGUUUAUAGCCUCUUGCCUAUGCAGUCGGAGAGAUUGAGGUCUGCAGCGUAGAUCCUUCGGGGCUAAAUGCAUUUGUGCUAAGUUAUAGCAUUUUAUAGACAACUUGUUGACUAUGAUUUGUCUUGUAGCUUACUCGCUUAUGUUAUUUUACCUACGCUUAGGAUGUUGAUCUCUCACAGUCGAGC
rnacentral:rRNA from 1 species